GACAGAGGUGCCAAGCGUUAGGCGGAAUCACUGGGCUUAAAGCGUGUGUAGGCGGGCGAUCAAGUACCUUGUGAAAUCCCACGGCUCAACCGUGGAACUGCUGGGUAUACUGGUUGUCUUGAGCCAGGUAGGGGCGAGCGGAACAGACGGUGGAGCGGUGAAAUGCGUAGAUAUCGCUUGGAACGCCGAAGGUGAAAACAGGCUGCUGGGGUUGUGCCGACGCUGAGACACGAAAGCCAGGGGAGCAAACGGG
rnacentral:rRNA from 1 species